rnacentral:rRNA from 1 species
CCGGAGCUUGCUCCACCGGAAAAAGAGGAGUGGCGAACGGGUGAGUAACACGUGGGUAACCUGCCCAUCAGAAGGGGAUAACACUUGGAAACAGGUGCUAAUACCGUAUAACAAUCGAAACCGCAUGGUUUCGAUUUGAAAGGCGCUUUCGGGUGUCGCUGAUGGAUGGACCCGCGGUGCAUUAGCUAGUUGGUGAGGUAACGGCUCACCAAGGCGACGAUGCAUAGCCGACCUGAGAGGGUGAUCGGCCACAUUGGGACUGAGACACGGCCCAAACUCCUACGGGAGGCAGCAGUAGGGAAUCUUCGGCAAUGGACGAAAGUCUGACCGAGCAACGCCGCGUGAGUGAAGAAGGUUUUCGGAUCGUAAAACUCUGUUGUUAGAGAAGAACAAGGAUGAGAGUAACUGUUCAUCCCUUGACGGUAUCUAACCAGAAAGCCACGGCUAACUACGUGCCAGCAGCCGCGGUAAUACGUAGGUGGCAAGCGUUGUCCGGAUUUAUUGGGCGUAAAGCGAGCGCAGGCGGUUUCUUAAGUCUGAUGUGAAAGCCCCCGGCUCAACCGGGGAGGGUCAUUGGAAACUGGGAGACUUGAGUGCAGAAGAGGAGAGUGGAAUUCCAUGUGUAGCGGUGAAAUGCGUAGAUAUAUGGAGGAACACCAGUGGCGAA